rnacentral:rRNA from 1 species
AACGGAGCCUUAACCAAAGAAGCAGCCAGCUUCCCUGGAAGCGGAAAAGGGAAAGGCUUAGUGGCGGACGGGUGAGUAACGCGUGGGUAACCUGGCCCAUACAGGGGGAUAACACUUAGAAAUAGGUGCUAAUACCGCAUAACAACAGAAAGCGCAUGCUUUUUGUUUGAAAACCAAGGUGGUAUGGGAUGGACCCGCGUCUGAUUAGCUGGUUGGCGGGGUAAAGGCCCACCAAGGCGACGAUCAGUAGCCGGCCUGAGAGGGUGGACGGCCACAUUGGGACUGAGACACGGCCCAAACUCCUACGGGAGGCAGCAGUGGGGAAUAUUGCACAAUGGGGGAAACCCUGAUGCAGCGACGCCGCGUGAGUGAAGGAGUAAUUCGUUAUGUAAAGCUCUAUCAGCAGGGAAGAAAAUGACGGUACCUGAGUAAGAAGCCCCGGCUAACUACGUGCCAGCAGCCGCGGUAAUACGUAGGGGGCAAGCGUUAUCCGGAUUUACUGGGUGUAAAGGGAGCGUAGACGGCAGUGCAAGUCUGGAGUGAAAGGCGGGGGCUCAACCCCCGGACU